rnacentral:rRNA from 1 species
GCUAACCCCCCGUCAACAGCCGCGGUAAUACGGAGGAUCCAAGCGUUAUCCGGAAUCAUUGGGUUUAAAGGGUUCGUAGGCGGUUGAAUAAGUCAGUGGUGAAAUCUCCUAGCUUAACUAGGAAAUGGCCAUUGAUACUGUUUGACUUGAAUUAUUGGGAAGUAACUAGAAUAUGUAGUGUAGCGGUGAAAUGCUUAGAUAUUACAUGGAAUACCAAUUGCGAAGGCAGGUUACUAUCAAUACAUUGACGCUGAUGAACGAAAGCGUGGGUAGCGGACAGGAUUAAAUACCCUGGUAGUCCACGCCGUAAACGAUGGAUACUAGCUGUUCGACCGCAAGGUUGAGUGGCUAAGCGAAAGUGAUAAGUAUCCCACCUGGGGAGUACGUCCGCAAGAAUGAAACUCAAAGGAAUUGACGGGGGCCCGCACAAGCGGUGGAGCAUGUGGUUUAAUUCGAUGAUACGCGAGGAACCUUACCAGGGCUUAAAUG